rnacentral:rRNA from 1 species
AUUGAACGCUGGCGGCAGGCCUAACACAUGCAAGUCGAGCGAGCGGCGGACGGGUGAGUAAUGUCUGGGAAACUGCCUGAUGGAGGGGGAUAACUACUGGAAACGGUAGCUAAUACCGCAUACCAUCAGAUGUGCCCAGAUGGGAUUAGCUAGUAGGUGGGGUAACGGCUCACCUAGGCGACGAUCCCUAGCUGGUCUGAGAGGAUGACCAGCAACACUGGAACUGAGACACGGUCCAUACUCCUACGGGAGGCGGCAGUGGGGAAUAUUGCACAAUGGGAGCAGGCCUGAUGCAGCCAUGCCGCGUGUAUGAAGAAGGCCUUAGGGUUGUAAAGUACUUUCAGCGGGGAGGCGUUACCCGCAGAAGAAGCACCGGCUAACUCCGUGCCAGCCGCCGCGGUAAUUC